rnacentral:lncRNA from 1 species
CUGAAUAAUAAACAACCAUCAGUUCCAAUAUGAAAUUCUGAAUCAUUACCUAACUCACAAUGCACCCGUUUAGCCUGUAAUUUCUCAUCAUUCCUCUGAGCUUCACAUAUUUGUUGACGAAAUGUCGAUUUAGCUCUCAAUUCAGCUAUGAUUGAACCAUCAUUAGACAGUGACAACCGGGUAUUCAUAGCUUGUAAAGCAAAUAGAGAUUUUCGGCUCAAAGCAUCAGCUACC